rnacentral:rRNA from 1 species
UACGUAGGUGGCAAGCGUUGUCCGGAAUUAUUGGGCGUAAAGCGCGCGCAGGCGGUUCCUUAAGUCUGAUGUGAAAGCCCACGGCUCAACCGUGGAGGGUCAUUGGAAACUGGGGAACUUGAGUGCAGAAGAGGAAAGCGGAAUUCCACGUGUAGCGGUGAAAUGCGUAGAGAUGUGGAGGAACACCAGUGGCGAAGGCGGCUUUCUGGCGUGUAACUGACGCUGAGGCGCGAAAGCGUGGGGAGCAAACAGG